GUAGAGGUAGAGAGGAGUGUAGGACGGCUUCCUCACAGAGGAUUUUGCUGUUGAAUCUUUUCGGUGCAUCGGUGAAGGUAAAAGGUAACCCAACACCUAUAGACACAUGGCAAAGAAGAUGUAGUUAGGUUUAGAUGUGCAAAGCCAACUAAACAUAUUGUGGCAAGAAGGUUAUCCUCACCAAAAAAAUGUAAGUGACCAGUUAACAACAAUAUGUAAGAACAUGUCACGCAGCACAAAGCCCCAACACUGUGAAAUGUUGUAUAAAUGAUUUGUGCUAGUGAUAUCUUUUCGACAAAUGGAUGCUUUUUAAAUUAUAUGUUUAUCUUGAUUUUGAACCAUCGUGUCUGCUUUCUAAAUUGAAUAAACACAAAUAUAAAUAAAAGAAAUAACAUGUAAUCAAUAAAUAAUCAAUAAAACAAUAACCUGAUUAAAAAUAUCUGCCACAGAAAAAGUGAGUACAAAGAA